CAUUCAUAAAAUAUAAAUACAUUUAUAUUUUUCUAAUUGUAGAAGAAAUUGUGUAUGUGAAUGUUGUUCUCUUUGGAUUGUGCAUUUUAUUUGCUAUUCUGACAAUCUUAAGAAAACGCUUCACUUUAUAUGUGUGCGUCCACUAGCCAACAAAAAAUUUCGAAGGUAUGACAUCAAUGAAAAUCCAAUGGUACAAACAGAUGGCAAUAGUGAAAGGAAUCAUGGAGUGUCGCAAAAUAAAACUAAUUUGUUCGUGACAGAUAUAAUAAGCCUUGGGAACAGCACAAUAGUAUUGUUCAUAAAGGAUAUCAUAAAUAUUGAAAAGGAGGAAACCAAAAUUUGAACUUUUUAUAUAGAUGAAAGUACUUGUAUUUUAUAUUUAUUAUUAUUAUCACAAUUAUUAUUAUCAUUAUUAUUAUUGUAACUAUUUUCAUUAUUAUUAUUAUUAGUACUAGUA